rnacentral:rRNA from 1 species
UGUUAGCGGAGCAUCCGUAGGUGACCUGCGGAGCAUAUCAAUAAGCGGAGGAAUCCGUACGUUAUCUCUCCACCUGUGCACAUAUUGUAGGUCUGGAAUAAAUUUCUGGGGUAACUCAGUAGUGGGGAAUGCUGCUGCGAAGUGGCUUUGCCUGUAAUUUCAGAUCUAUGUUUUCAUAUACACCAUAAAAAUGUAACAGAAUGUAAUAAUGGGUCUUGUACCUAUAAACUAUAUACAACUUUCAGCAACGGAUCUCUUGGCUCUCGCAUCGAUGAAGAACGCAGCGAAAUGCGAUAAGUAAUGUGAAUUGCAGAAUUCAGUGAAUCAUCGAAUCUUUGAACGCACCUUGCGCUCCUUGGUAUUCCGAGGAGCAUGCCUGUUUGAGUGUCAUUAAAUUCUCAAUCUUAUUAGCUUUUGUUAAUAAAGACUUGGAUGUGGGGGGAAAAUUUUUUUGAAGGUUUCUCGCGAGCCUUCUCCCCUAAAAUGCAUUAGCUGGUCGCUCGCGCGAACUGUCUAUUGGUGUGAUAAUUAUCUACGCCAUUGACUAACUGCCAUAGUAGCACUGCUUCUAAUCGUCUUCGGACAAUUUAUGACAAUUUGACCUCAAAUCAGGUAGGACUACCCGCUGAACUUAAGCAUAUCAAUAAGCGGAGAAGGAUC